UGGGGAAUAUUGCACAAUGGGCGCAAGCCUGAUGCAGCAACGCCGCGUGAGGGAUGACGGCCUUCGGGUUGUAAACCUCUUUUAGCAGGGAAGAAGCGAAAGUGACGGUACCUGCAGAAAAAGCGCCGGCUAACUACGUGCCAGCAGCCGCGGUAAUACGUAGGGCGCAAGCGUUAUCCGGAAUUAUUGGGCGUAAAGAGCUCGUAGGCGGUUUGUCGCGUCUGCUGUGAAAUCCCGAGGCUCAACCUCGGGUCUGCAGUGGGUACGGGCAGACUAGAGUGCGGUAGGGGAGAUUGGAGUUCCUGGUGUAGCGGUGGAAUACGCAGAUAUCAGGAGGAACACCGAUGGCGAAGGCAGAUCUCUGGGCCGUAACUGACGCUGAGGAGCGAAAGGGUGGGGAGCAAACAGGCUUAGAUACCCUGGUAGUCCACCCCGUAAACGUUGGGAACUAGUUGUGGGGUCCAUUCCACGGAUUCCGUGACGCAGCUAACGCAUUAAGUUCCCCGCCUGGGGAGUACGGCCGCAAGGCUAAACUUAAAUGAAUUGACGGGGUCAUAGCUGUUUCC
rnacentral:rRNA from 1 species